rnacentral:RNase_P_RNA from 1 species
CCGGCAGGCCGCUUUAUCGUCCCGAGUACUCGGGAAGGAAAGUCCGGGCAACACAGGACACCGUGCUUCCUAGCGGGAAGAUCUUUGAAAGGGGAUAGCAACGUAACAGAAAAGAACCACCCUGUUUUGACGCGUUCAUUACGGGGAACGGGUGAAAAGGUGCGGUAAAAGCGCACCGGUGGUGAUGGCAACAUCAUCAGCCGUAUGUCUCACGGGUUGCAAAGCCAAAUAUAUCCUGGUUGUUGCCGCUGUUGCGGCCAGCGGAGUGGUCCGCUCUGUUUCUCUUCGCACAAGGAUACCAGGAGGGGUAGGCUGCAGGACCGUGGCAGCGAUGUCACGGCAAGAUAAAUGAUAAAGGUUUCUGGCCAUUGUUUUUACAAGGUCAGGAAUACAGAACCCGGCUUACAGGCCUGCCAUUUUU